AGCUGAACUCCAGGCACAGCUCAACUGGAGGAAAGACGUGUACCUGGCUGGCUGGAAGAAGGCCCAGCUGUAUGCAGGCUGAGUUUCUUCCUGCAAGCCUCCUGGGUUGCUGAGAAACUUUGCAUGCUUUAGUGAUGAAUCCUUCAGAAAAAAGAACCACUCUUUAGGAGUUAGAAUUACUACUAUUUUUAUUAUUGUGCAUUUCCUAAGGAGAUGGGCAAGCUACUUUUGUUUCUGACUGUCAGAAUUUUAUGAAUUGCCAGUUUGAAAUAUUCCGGGGAAAAUAACAUCUCACAUUCUGCAAUGGGCCUCAUAUAUAUAUGUAUAUGUAUGUGUAUAUAUAUGUAUUUUUUUGUAAUUUUGUUUAUUUAUUUAUGUUUUUAUUAAAGUAUAGUUGAUU
rnacentral:lncRNA from 1 species